AAAGGGUGCGUAGGCGGUUUAUUAAGUCAGUGGUGAAAGACGGUCGCUCAACGAUUGCAGUGCCAUUGAUACUGGUAGACUUGAGUGGGAUUGAGGUAGCUGGAAUGGAUAGUGUAGCGGUGAAAUGCAUAGAUAUUAUCCAGAACACCAAUUGCGUAGGCAAGUUACUAAGUCUCAACUGACGCUGAGGCACGAAAGUGUGGGUAUCAAACAGGAUUAGAUACCCUGGU
rnacentral:rRNA from 1 species